rnacentral:rRNA from 1 species
GACAGAGGGGGCAAGCGUUGCUCGGAAUCACUGGGCGUAAAGGGCGCGUAGGCGGGAUGGCAAGUCGGUCGUGAAAUCCUUCGGCUCAACCGAAGAACGUCGGCCGAUACUGCCGUUCUUGAGGGAUGCAGAGGAGAUUGGAAUUCCCGGUGUAGCGGUGAAAUGUGUAGAGAUCGAGAGGAACACCGGUGGCGAAGGCGGGUCUCUGGGCAUCUCCUGACGCUGAGGCGCGAAAGCGUGGGGAGCAAACGGG